rnacentral:misc_RNA from 1 species
AAAAUAACAACAAUUAGCUCAUCUUAGUCCAUAAUAGGAAGCAACAAUAACAUAAUCCAUAAUCUUCCAUAAAUUUACAAAUGCAUGUUUCAAACUUAUAUACGCAUCUGCUAGGUGGUAUUCAAGAACAAGUAGAGAGUUGCCUCUCAAAACAAUGAAAAGUAUGUCUAGUUGUUGAGAGGCCCAGAUACCGAUGGCUAGAGGACCAAUUAUUCUAGUUUCUUGAUGUCAUGCAAUAUUUGGGAGAAUUACACUUGUCCAUUUCCAGAUAGAAAGGUAGUCUUUUCUAUCGGCCAAGGAGCCCCCGCCAUCACUGCCUCUAUCUCUUCAAUCUUCCGCGGACAUUUGCUCAUGUUAAUGCAUCCAAUGGAAGUAACACACACAUCACUUUCAAUUCUGACUCCACCAAAAGGUCUAAACCUGUUGAUCUCAACACGAUUGAAAAACUCUGAAACUGCUGGACUCUUCAAGGCAGGAAGUAGCAAGGCAUCAAUGAAGUAACAACCAGGCUCCACAGUGAUCACCAUUCCCUUUAAGAGCUUUCUGCUCGUACGUAGAGAGCUCAAUCCAGGUUCUUUUGGUCUUUUAGCUCCCUUCAAGUAACCCCCAGGAUCAUGAGUAUCAAUUCCAAGAAGGUGCCCCAAUCCAUGAGGCAUGAAAACAGCACCAAGUCGCUCGGCCAUCAUUUUAUCAACAUCCCCAACAAGUAGGUUCCCUUUCUUCAGUGAUUCCAAAAUGACCCUUUCAGCUAAUUUAUGCAUAUCGACCCAGCUCACUCCAGGCUUCAUGGCAGAAAUGACAGCAUCAUGAGCAUCAAGAACAGCAGUAUAUAAAAGUGACUGGUCACGAGUAAAUUUCCCAUUUACUGGAAAGGAACAAGUUAUGUCGGACCCAUAAAAGUGGUACUCAGCUCCCAUAUCUAGAAGUGCCAUAUCUCCCUCUUGCAAUGUCUUGUCAUUUGGAGCUGCUGCAUGACCAUAAUGGAGUACAGCACUAUUAUCGCCAGUAGCACAUAUACAUGUGUAU